rnacentral:rRNA from 1 species
CAUGCAGUCGAGCGGAACGAUGAUAGCUUGCUAUCAGGCGUCGAGCGGCGGACGGGUGAGUAAUACUUAGGAAUCUACCUAGUAGUGGGGGAUAGCACGGGGAAACUCGUAUUAAUACCGCAUACGACCUACGGGAGAAAGGGGGCAGUUUACUGCUCUCGCUAUUAGAUGAGCCUAAGUCGGAUUAGCUAGAUGGUGGGGUAAAGGCCUACCAUGGCGACGAUCUGUAGCUGGUCUGAGAGGAUGAUCAGCCACACCGGGACUGAGACACGGCCCGGACUCCUACGGGAGGCAGCAGUGGGGAAUAUUGGACAAUGGGGGAAACCCUGAUCCAGCCAUGCCGCGUGUGUGAAGAAGGCCUUUUGGUUGUAAAGCACUUUAAGCAGUGAAGAAGACUCCGUGGUUAAUACCCACGGACGAUGACAUUAGCUGCAGAAUAAGCACCGGCUAACUCUGUGCCAGCAGCCGCGGUAAUACAGAGGGUGCAAGCGUUAAUCGGAAUUACUGGGCGUAAAGGGAGCGUAGGUGGCUCGAUAAGUCAGAUGUGAAAUCCCCGGGCUCAACCUGGGAACUGCACCUGAUACUGUUGAGCUAGAGUAUGUGAGAGGAAGGUAGAAUUCCAGGUGUAGCGGUGAAAUGCGUAGAGAUCUGGAGGAAUACCGAUGGCGAAGGCAGCCUUCUGGCAUAAUACUGACACUGAGGCUCGAAAGCGUGGGUAGCAAACAGGAUUAGAUACCCUGGUAGUCCACGCCGUAAACGAUGUCUACUAGUCGUUGGGUCCCUUGAGGACUUAGUGACGCAGCUAACGCAAUAAGUAGACCGCCUGGGGAGUACGGCCGCAAGGUUAAAACUCAAAUGAAUUGACGGGGGCCCGCACAAGCGGUGGAGCAUGUGGUUUAAUUCGAUGCAACGCGAAGAACCUUACCUGGUCUUGACAUAUCUAGAAUCCUGCAGAGAUGCGGGAG